rnacentral:rRNA from 1 species
AUUGAACGCUGGCGGCAGGCUUAACACAUGCAAGUCGAGCGGGGAAGGGUAGCUUGCUACCUGACCUAGCGGCGGACGGGUGAGUAAUGCUUAGGAAUCUGCCUAUUGGUGGGGGACAACAUUCCGAAAGGAAUGCUAAUACCGCAUACGCCCUACGGGGGAAAGCAGGGGAUCUUCGGACCUUGCGCUAAUAGAUGAGCCUAAGUCAGAUGAUCGCUAGUUGGUGGGGUAAAGGCCUACCAAGGCGACGAUCUGGAGCGGGUCUGAGAGGAUGAUCCACCACACGGGGACGUAGACACGGCCCAGACGCCUGCGGGAGGCAGCAGGGGGGAAUAUUGGACAAUGGGCGAAAGCCUGAUCCAGCCAGGCCGAGUGUGUGAAGAAGGUCUUUUGGUUGUAAAGCACUUUAAGCGAGGAGGAGGCUACCGAGAUUAAUACUCUUGGAUAGUGGACGUUACUCGCAGAAUAAGCACCGGCUAACUCUGUGCCAGCCGCCGCCGUAA